rnacentral:rRNA from 1 species
UACGGAGGGUGCAAGCAUUAAUCGGAUUUACUGGGCGUAAAGGGCGCGUAGGCGGGAAUAUAAGUCAGAUGUGAAAUCCCGGGGCUCAACCUCGGAACGGCAUUUGAAACUAUAUUUCUAGAGGAUAGACGGAGAAAACGGAAUUCCACAAGUAGCGGUGAAAUGCGUAGAUAUGUGGAAGAACACCUGUGGCGAAAGCGGUUUUCUAGUUUAGACCUGACGCUAAGGCGCGAAAGCUAGGGGAGCAAACAGG